rnacentral:rRNA from 1 species
AGUGAACGCUGGCGGUAGGCCUAACACAUACAAGUCGAACGGCAGCACAGUAAGAGCUUGCUCUUACGGGUGGCGAGUGGCGGACGGGUGAGGAAUACAUCGGAAUCUACUUUUUCGUGGGGGAUAACGUAGGGAAACUUACGCUAAUACCGCAUACGACCUACGGGUGAAAGCAGGGGAUCUUCGGACCUUGCGCGAUUGAAUGAGCCGAUGUCGGAUUAGCUAGUUGGCGGGGUAAAGGCCCACCAAGGCGACGAUCCGUAGCUGGUCUGAGAGGAUGAUCAGCCACACUGGAACUGAGACACGGUCCAGACUCCUACGGGAGGCAGCAGUGGGGAAUAUUGGACAAUGGGCGAAAGCCUGAUCCAGCCAUACCGCGUGGGUGAAGAAGGCCUUCGGGUUGUAAAGCCCUUUUGUUGGGAAAGAAAAGCAGCAGGUUAAUACCCCGCUGUUCUGACGGUACCCAAAGAAUAAGCACCGGCUAACUUCGUG